CCUGUAAAAGCAAUUUUAGUGACUUAGGAAUAAGUUGCUGAAAUCAUAAUGGAUGCAAGAAGAUAUUGUUUAAACAGUCAAAAGAAAUCGAGUUUGUGUUUGUAACAUCACAAUCGUUAUCAUGUCUCUAUGCUGCUUACUACAUAACUUGUGUGAGGGAUAUCAGUUCCAGAAAAAAGGAAGUUACCAUAGGGUAUCUCAGAGAAGAAGCCCUCCAGUUGGUUCGGGACUGAACAAUGAAUGUCAUUGUUGAGCAAGCUGUUUGAGCUACUGCCACCAAAUUCAGAAUUCCUAUUUGGAAACAGAAGGCUGUUAGCUUCUCUGAACAAAAUGUCUAAAGCUGAAUGGAUAUUGCAUCUUUGUACACCUGCAUAGGGAUCACUCAUAUCGCUGCUAGCCUGAGGAUAAAACAUUGAUAGCAACGGAUUUCUGGCUGCCAUGUUAUUGUUCACAUCCAAAUUCCUGUUAGCAGAAUCUAUAUUAGUUAUGUCCUUCUUGAGCAGUUGUUCUGAGGUAUUACUGUUUGAUCCAUUGCUCUCAUAGUGCCAUGGCUGAGUGUAGGAGCCUGGAAUGUAAUCUAGAACACUGUUUCUAUGCAUCAAUUUGCCAUCAAACAUUUUGUUCUCUCUAGUUUGAUGACCUAUUUGUCCCAUCAGAGGGAGAUUCUGAUGUGGUCCUGGGUAAUGCAUCAGCUUUUCUUUCAUGUAAUCACUUCCAGGUACAGAAAUUUCUUGAUAAUUUGGUCCGCUCAUUUGGUUCACUGGCCAGUCUGAUGGUGUAUUAGAUGUUAGUUGAAUGAGCUUCUCAGGGGGGAUGGGUACCCAUGUAUUGUUCAUUUCAAAUUGUCUGUCAUCUUGGCCUAAAAGUUGUUUUCCAAAGUUCAUUGAAAGCCUGCAAUUUCCGGGAAAUGUAUUUAUGAGGAAGUGUGGAGAAUAUUAGUCAGAUGGAUGUGAUACAAAACAUAUAUCCAAUACACCUAUUUAUAUUAAUAUUCUGGAUCAGGUGCAAAUGCACAACUAGUACAGGCCAAUAAGAUGAAUCAUUUUCUUA